GCUGGAAUGGCCGAGUCGUUAAGGCGAUAGAUUUGAAUCCUAUUAGGUAAUCAUCUAUUACUCUCUGAGUGCGUAGGUUCAAAUCCUGCUUCCAGCG